UGAUGUUCUAUUAUGGCAGCCCGAGCUGACCGAGGCACCUGGCUUCAGAAAGUUGCAUGGUAACUCGCAGGGUAACAUUGCCAUCCCAGGCUGCUCUCACAGCCACAAGGAGCACCGUGAUGGGCGGCAGGAGGGGCUGACUCCCGUCUCAGUUUCCAAGACCCCAGACUCUUUGGAGUGGGGAAGCCAUGGCAGAGCACGUGUGAAAGAACAGGGGCUGGUUACCGACACACCCGGGUUUCAUCUCGAGACUGACACACCCAGAUUUAACCAUCAUCCUGCCACUUUCCUGUGUGAAG